CUUGGACAUGCCAGGAAUAAAAAGGAUACUCACUGUUACCAUUCUGGCUCUCUGUCUUCCAAGCCCUGGGAAUGCACAGGAGAGAUGGACCCCUGUGUGUCAGCCCUGAAAUGUGGGCAGAUCCCUCCUGAAAACUCCGAGUGGCCUCUCUGUGUCUCUGGCUCAGGAAAGAAAUGAGAGAAGCCCUAUCUCUGAGCAGGCUGAGGGCUGCAGGCAGGCACAGUGCACGAAUGGCUUUGACCUGGAUCGCCAGUCAGGACAGUGUUUAGCAUCUCUCUGACCAAUCAGCCUCUUCUUCUUCUACUUUUAAGAACUCCUGUGAAUAUAUCGGGCCCACCCAGAAAAUCCAGGAUAACCUCCCCAUCUCAAGAUAUUGAUGAAUGCCGGACCAUCCCCGAGGCCUGCCGAGGAGACAUGAUGUGUGUUAACCAAAAUGGCGGGUAUUUAUGCAUUCCCCGAACAAACCCCGUGUAUCGAGGGCCCUACUCGAACCCCUAUUCGACCCCCUACUCAGGUCCGUACCCAGCAGCUGCCCCACCACUCUCAGCUCCAAACUAUCCC
rnacentral:sRNA from 1 species